CCUACGGGAGGCAGCAGUGGGGAAUAUUGCACAAUGGAGGAAACUCUGAUGCAGCGACGCCGCGUGAGUGAAGAAGGUCUUCGGAUCGUAAAACUCUGUCCUUGGUGACGAAAAAAAUGACGGUAGCCAAGGAGGAAGCCCCGGCUAACUACGUGCCAGCAGCCGCGGUAAA
rnacentral:rRNA from 1 species